GAUCCUGGCUCAGAUUGAACGCUGGCGGCAGGCCUAACACAUGCAAGUCGAGCGGUAGCACAGAGAGCUUGCUCUCGGGUGACGAGCGGCGGACGGGUGAGUAAUGUCUGGGAAACUGCCUGAUGGAGGGGGGAUAACUACUGGAAACGGUAGCUAAUACCGCAUAAUGUCGCAAGACCAAAGUGGGGGGACCUUCGGGCCUCAUGCCAUCAGAUGUGCCCAGAUGGGAUUAG
rnacentral:rRNA from 1 species